UCAGGAAUGAAGCUCUUGAGGUCAUGGGCACUGGAUGUUUAUUCUAAAUAUGUACCUGCUAUGGCACCCUGACAGAGACAGCCCUGCAGGAGAGGGACUGCUGAUUUGAGCUGGUACAGGAGGGAGAAUCGGGCAGAGGGUGAGCUGUGCAACUCUGUUGGCUUUUGAAAGAUGCUACAGUCAGCUGGAUUGAAGCCCAAACCUUG
rnacentral:lncRNA from 1 species